rnacentral:rRNA from 1 species
GAACGAGCACCGAUUCCUUCGGGAUGACGUGCUGAGUGGCGGACGGGUGAGUAACGCGUGGGGACCUGCCCCAUACCGGGGGAUAACAGCCGGAAACGGCUGCUAAUACCGCAUAAGACCGCAUGGUAAAAACUCCGGUGGUAUGGGAUGGACCCGCGUCUGAUUAGCCAGUUGGCGGGGUAACGGCCCACCAAAGCGACGAUCAGUAGCCGGCCUGAGAGGGCGACCGGCCACAUUGGGACUGAGACACGGCCCAGACUCCUACGGGAGGCAGCAGUGGGGAAUAUUGCACAAUGGGGGAAACCCUGAUGCAGCGACGCCGCGUGAGUGAGGAAGUAUUUCGGUAUGUAAAGCUCUAUCAGCAGGGAAGAAAAUGACGGUACCUGACUAAGAAGCCCCGGCUAACUACGUGCCAGCAGCCGCGGUAAUACGUAUGUCGCAAGCGUUAUCCGGAUUUAUUGGGCGUAAAGCGCGUCUAGGCGGUCUGGUAAGUCUGAUGUGGAAAUGCGGGGCUCAACUCCGUAUUGCGUUGGAAACUGCCAGACUAGAGUACUGGAGAGGUGGGCGGAACUACAAGUGUAGAGGUGAAAUUCGUAGAUAUUUGUAGGAAUGCCGAUAGAGAAGUCAGCUCACUGGACAGAUACUGACGCUGAAGCGCGAAAGC